rnacentral:lncRNA from 1 species
ACGUUUCCCGGAUGCCUUUUUCUCCUGCAUCUCUUAUUGAAACCCUCCCAAUUCUCCAUCCCGGACAAUCGAUUCGAUAGAAGCAGGAUGGGUGCGAAGAUGGGAUCGGGGAGGUCGGAAUGGCGGUCGUCAGGUCCUCGCGCGGAGCCAUCACGACAAGGCCGUAUUCAUUCGCCCUCAUCUCCACAGGCACCAGCGCCAUCUCCGGUGAUCCUCCAACUGUUUGCUUGUUCCCUUCUCUUUUGUCUGUUUCCUCCAAUUUUUAGAUCGAAGCCCGAGCUUCCAAUUCGGUUUAGAUUAGGUUCGAGUUUGGUGUUAGAUGAUAAUAAUAACAUGAAAAAGAUUCUUUCUUGAUGGGCGAGGGUUUCUGGGUGGUAGUCUUCCAGAGAAAGAUAGGACUUCGAUGAACUCAGGAAUCGUGAUCCAACUUUUGUUGCUUCGAUUUAAAUGGGUAAGAGGUGGGAAUUGAUGGAUGCAACGAGCUGGAGGAUGCUUACCCAUGGGGGAUUUGAUUUGCUAUUGGUUAAUGUCCUGGAUCUCAAUGAGCCCGAGGAAGAGACUUUUCAUACUCCAGAGCAAGUAUGUUUCUUUCCCAUCAGAAAGUGUGGUUCUUUCUCUAUUUGCUAAGUCUUCUUUUUCUUUAGCAUCAAGAACUACUUUACCUUUACAUAGGUAUAAGAAUCUUAAGGGCCUGGUUGAAAAUUGAGGGGCUCUUCAUUGGCAUAUAGGUACGAGUUGCUGUCGCUUGUUGUUCCUUCAGGUACUAUUCUAUUAUCAUUUGAUUAGAAUCAAACUCUGUGGAUCUAGUCCUUUGCAUCUGUUCUGUUAAAGCACAAAAAGAAGAUAUAGUUUAAACCAUGCUGAUUCCACCAAGACAAGUGUGGAAGCUUUUCUACAAAAGGAUUUUAACUCAUUUUAGUGGGGUGUAAAUGGUGAGUAUCACACGAACAGAGAGUAACAAUUCUGCAGUUAAUAAAUAAUAUUCCAAGCAUAGUGAAUGAUUUAAAUGUUGAGUUGCCUGUGAUAGGACUGGCUUAUUAUAUAUAGCAUUUGGACAAGUGAUUAUCCAGUGGUGUGGUCCUAUGGACCAUAUCGAAUGACAUGCUUGUCUGUAAUGAUACAGACUCCAUAUGUCAGCGAAACUGAUGGCACCUAUGUUCUAUUCUCUUGGAAAUCUGGGGCAGAAGUGGAAAGAAACUUUUCUAGGCAAGUUAUUGGAUCCAUAAAUCCUGGCAAUUUAUUGCUCAUUUGUUAUGACAUGUCAAUUCUAUUACACUCUCCUUUUGCAAAAACAAGAUGUCAAGUACAUCAUCAAUAUGGUCAGGAUAUGUUGCUAUCUGUUGAAUAAAACAGGAGCAACUAGUUUUGCUCUCCCACUGUAAAUUAGUGGUUCUUUAAAAUAGUGAGGAAACAAAGAGUUAAACAGAAAAUUAACUUGCACAUGGAUUACAAAUCUAAACUAGUUUACCAUUAACCUGAGCUAUUAACUGAAACAUAGCAAAGAGUUGACUUGCAUGGUGACUGGCAUCAAAGGCUAAUAUGUAAAUAAAAACGAUUAGCGCCAAUUUAACAAACUGAAGCUAUAUUUUAAUUGUUCAAAUCAACUUAGCUCAAACUGCCAAUAGGUUCAUCAACACGGUACAGUUGGGGGGUCAUGAAAAGGUAUAAUGAAGAAAAUCAUGGCAAUUGAAGAAUAUUGAGGAUGUACUUAAUGUGAUUUCUCAUAAUCUGAUUGAGAUAUUUAUCCUUUUCUAUCUCUACAUGUUUAUAAGGUUAGUUUAGGAUGAACCUUGCUGCCUCACAAGUCGUAAAAUGCGGAUGGACCUGGAAAUGAUUUCUUCACACGAAGCAGCGGUAGGCUGUUGCAGAAGACAGCAAGCACCCCCUGGAGAAGGAAGAGGAAUGAUUAGACAAAGAAGAUCAAAGAAGAGGAGGUUAGAAGUUGGAAGAAGCAGAGGAGAUGAAGAGGGGCACCUGAAACUUUGUGAUUCUUUUCCUCUUUAAGCAUUUUGAACCUGUCAUUUCCUUAUAUUGAUGUGGAGGCAGAUAAUCCCUCUGAGCCUUGAUGACACCUGUAUUGUCUAGUUUAUGAGACCUAGCUUAAUUAAACAACUUCCUUUGUUUCGCUUGCUUUUUUUUUUUCUCACUUUUGCAAGCAACUUCUGAUCCAAUGAUUCUUGACCAUGUUGUGGUAAUGGACAAACUUGGAAACAAAUUAUAUGUAAUUCCUAGAGCUAGUUAUGAGGAUGGAAUAAACAGAUUUUAAUGAGUCUUUAAAUUAGUUGAGCUCCCACUUUUAACUCAGUGUGUCUCCCUUUCGUUUCGUCAUAUAUGUCAAUGAUACUUUCAGAUCCUGCAUGUAUGUUAUGAUGUUAACGAACAGAUGUGCUUGUGGAAUUAAGACUCUAUGGAUUAUGAAGUAUUGGGACAUCAAUUGGUUUCAGUCUUAUUUUUUCUUGCAACUUUUUCCAGGUAAUGAGAUACACGAGGCAAAGCUUGUUAAAUGUACUCGUAGUUUGAUUAUAGUAGUUUUGAGUGCUUGUUAUAAUUGAACAAUAGGACUCUUUCAAGUGCUGGAUUGAGAUUCCAGCUCACUUGUUCUGUUACAUUACAUCUGGUUUGUUGCUCCGUAUGCAUUUGCAACCCUUUGUUCGAGGUUCAAAAACCUAGUUUUACACAUCCGGUUCACCUGCGCAUGUCAAGUUUUUCUUAAAGCAGUCCUCCACUUUAAGCUUUUCAUUUUGUGGAU